GAUGAACGCUGGCGGCGUGCCUAACACAUGCAAGUCGAGCGAUUACUUCGGUAAAGAGCGGCGGACGGGUGAGUAACGCGUGGGUAAUCUGCCCUGUACACACGGAUAACAUACCGAAAGGUAUCCUAAUACGAGAUAAUAUACUUUUAUCGCAUGGUAGAAGUAUCAAAGCUCCGACGGUACGGGAUGGACCCGCGGCUGAUUAGCUAGUUGGUAAGGUAACGGCUUACCAAGGCGACGAUCAGUAGCCGACCCGGGAGGGUGAUCGGCCACAUUGGGACUGAGACACAGGCCCAACUCCUACGGGAGGCAGCAGUGGGGAAUAUUACACAAUGGGCGAAAGCCUGAUGCAGCAACGCCGCGUGAGGGAUGAAGGCCGUCGGGUCGUAAAGCUCUGUCCUCAAGGAAGAUAAUGGCGGUACGUGAGGAGCAAGCCCCGGCUAACUGCGUGCCAGCCGCCGCCGUAA
rnacentral:rRNA from 1 species